rnacentral:rRNA from 1 species
CACGUAGGGCGCAAGCGUUGUCCGGAAUUAUUGGGCGUAAAGAGCUCGUAGGUGGUUUGUUACGUCUGCUGUGAAAACCUAGGGCUUAACCCUGGGCUUGCAGUGGAUACGGGCAGACUAGAGGUAGGUAGGGGAGAAUGGAAUUCCUGGUGUAGCGGUGAAAUGCGCAGAUAUCAGGAGGAACACCGGUGGCGAAGGCGGGUUGCUGGGCUGACACUGACGCUGAUGCGCGAAAGCCAGGGGAGCGAACGGG